GACGAACGCUGGCGGCGUGCCUAAUACAUGCAAGUAGAACGCUGAAGAGAGGAGCUUGCUCUUCUUGGAUGAGUUGCGAACGGGUGAGUAACGCGUAGGUAACCUGCCUGGUAGCGGGGGAUAACUAUUGGAAACGAUAGCUAAUACCGCAUAAAAUGGAUUAUCGCAUGAUAAUCCAUUGAAAGGUGCAAAUGCAUCACUACCAGAUGGACCUGCGUUGUAUUAGCUAGUUGGUGGGGUAACGGCUCACCAAGGCGACGAUACAUAGCCGACCUGAGAGGGUGAUCGGCCACACUGGGACUGAGACACGGCCCAGACUCCUACGGGAGGCAGCAGUAGGGAAUCUUCGGCAAUGGACGGAAGUCUGACCGAGCAACGCCGCGUGAGUGAAGAAGGUUUUCGGAUCGUAAAGCUCUGUUGUAAGAGAAGAACGAGUGUGAGAGUGGAAAGUUCACACUGUGACGGUAUCUGACCAGAAAGGGACGGCUAACUACGUG
rnacentral:rRNA from 1 species